rnacentral:tRNA from 1 species
CGGGGAGUAACUCAGACUGGUAGAGUGCCAGCUUUGGGAGCUGGAGGCCGCAGGUUCAAAUCCUGUCUCCCCGA